rnacentral:rRNA from 1 species
GAUGAACGCUGGCGGCGUGCUUAACACAUGCAAGUCGAACGGGAAUUAUUUUAUUGAAACUUCGGUCGAUUUAAUUUAAUUCUAGUGGCGGACGGGUGAGUAACGCGUGGGUAACCUGCCUUAUACAGGGGGAUAACAGUCAGAAAUGGCUGCUAAUACCGCAUAAGCGCACAGAGCUGCAUGGCUCAGUGUGAAAAACUCCGGUGGUAUAAGAUGGACCCGCGUUGGAUUAGCUGGUUGGUGGGGUAACGGCCCACCAAGGCGACGAUCCAUAGCCGGCCUGAGAGGGUGAACGGCCACAUUGGGACUGAGACACGGCCCAGACUCCUACGGGAGGCAGCAGUGGGGAAUAUUGCACAAUGGGGGAAACCCUGAUGCAGCGACGCCGCGUGAGGGAAGAAGUAUCUCGGUAUGUAAACUUCUAUCAGCAGGGAAGAUAGUGACGGUACCUGACGAAGAAGCCCCGGCUAACUACGUG